GAAAUGCGAUAAUUAAUGUGAAUUGCAGAAUUCAGUGAAUCAUCGAGUCUUUGAACGCACAUUGCGCCCCCUGGUAUUCCGGGGGGCAUGCCUGUCCGAGCGUCAUUGCUGCCCUCAAGCACGGCUUGUGUGUUGGGCUUCCGUCCCUGGCAACGGGGACGGGCCCAAAAGGCAGUGGCGGCACCAUGUCUGGUCCGCGAGCGUAUGGGGCUUUGUCACCCGCUCCCGUAGGUCCAGCUGGCAGCUAGCCUCGCAACCAAUCUUUUUAACCAGGUUGACCUCGGAUCAGGUAGGGAUACCCGCUGAACUUAAGC
rnacentral:misc_RNA from 1 species